AUAAAACAACACACUUUCGGAAAAUACUUUCUAAAAUAGUAAAGUUAAUUUUCCGGAAAGUACUUUAUGAAAGUAUGUUAUUUUAC
rnacentral:miRNA from 1 species